GUCUUUUCCCAGUGUGUCCAUUUUCCAACGAUGAAUAUCACUCAUCAGUCUCUAUCUUCCGCCAUUAAUGUCCUUCACUUUUUCCCCUCCAUAACAGUCAAACGUCCUUCCUUCCAAUUUUCUUCGCCUUUGCCGACGAUUCCCUCUCUGCUCUUCCGGCGAUAUGCUUCGUUCUCUCUUCUCUUCCUCCUGCGGUAAUUGUUUCUACGAUUUCUCCGCCAACGUUUAUAACGAAGACAACAAAAUGGCGUCGGAAACUAUCGUAUUUCUCCGACGAUCUCUCGGCGCUUUCAUCUUCUUUGCCGUCAUUUUUGUCUUUUAUAACUUCGUUCACUCCUUUCAUCUCCUUGCCGACACUCCUUCUGCUACUUUCUCUUCUGCCAGUCUUUUUCCUUUUUUUGACGAUGUUCCUUAUCAGGGAAGUGAAGAGUACAAGCUUGAAAGAGUCUUGAGCAAUGCUGCUACUAAGGACAAAACCGUUAUUAUAACAACUUUGAAUGAAGCAUGGGCAAAGCCUGAUUCUAUCAUUGAUCUCUUCCUUCAGAGCUUUAGGAUUGGACAUCACACUCGAAGACUUCUAAACCAUCUAGUGAUUGUUGCAUUGGAUGACAAAGCAUUUAGACGGUGCCAAAGUUUACAUCAUCAUUGCUAUGCUCUUUUGACUGAAGGAACUGAUUUUUCCAAAGAGGCAUUCUUUAUGACACCUGAUUACCUCAAAAUGAUGUGGAGAAGGAUCGAUUUCUUACGAAGUGUACUCGAGAUGGGAUACAAUUUUGUUUUUACUGAUGCUGAUGUCAUGUGGUUCAGGGAUCCAUUCCCACACUUCUUUCCUGAUGCUGAUUUUCAGGUGGCUUGUGAUCAUUUCUCAGGUGACUCAUUUACCGUACACAAUAAACCAAAUGGAGGUUUUAAUUAUGUCAAAUCAAACAACCGUUCUAUUGAGUUCUACAAGUUUUGGUACUCGUCACAAGAAACUUAUCCUGGCUACCAUGAUCAGGAUGUCCUAAACUUCAUCAAACAUAGUCCAUAUAUAUCGGAAAUCGGAUUGAGUAUGAGAUUCUUAGAUACUACUUACUUCGGCGGAUUUUGUGAACCUAGCAAGGAUUUGAAUAAAGUUUGCACCAUGCAUGCAAAUUGUUGUUUUGGUAUUAGUAGUAAGCUUCAUGACCUUAAGAUUUUGCUUCAAGAUUGGAGACGAUUUAUGUCUUUACCCUUGAGUUUGAAGCAUUCGCAAGUGUAUUUUUGGAGGGUCCCAAAUAACUGCAGCCUAGAUGCACUUCACCCUGCUGAGUCUCCAUUGGAAAGUGAUGAUUCUGAAGAAGAUUGAUAUUCAAAGCUGACUCUCAUUCAUAUGCAUGAUUUCAGUUUGUCUUUUGACUAUUUAUAGUUGGAAAAUUUGUCCUUCCUGUUCACAAUUCACAGGGCACAAUAGACUUGAUGAUGGGUUCAAACUUGAGGUUGGAUUUUUGUACAAACUUAGAGAUCAAAUGGCGACGAGAACAAAUUUAGCUAAAAGAGUUUAGAGUUAUAUAUGGAGGCUCUUGUUUAAUGAAGAAGAGGGAGUUGAAGACUUUGCAAAAAUAACGUUCUGAUAAUGUAAUAAUAUCUUAAGGGAAUUAUUAGGAAUCUAACCAUUAUAUCCAUGUGGAAAAAGGGAUUUUUAUCUUUAAUAAAGGGAAAAAUUGCUCAGAAUAA